AGUAAUGAUGAGAUCUAUGAUGCAUGUUGGCAAGAAAGGAGAGCAAUUUCUUAGCUCAGCAGGACCUGAUUAUACCAUUGACCAGUGAAUAUCAAAGUGCAACAAGUAAGUUGGAGAAUUCAAGAAUUUGGUCACUUUGGAAUCAGAAGUUUUUUCAGAGAAUGGUAAUAGAAGUGUCAUUUUUCUUCAUCUAUUCUUCGAUUCUUGUGUUUAUAUUUUCAAUUCUCCAUAAUAUAUACAUUCUAAAAAAUUUUUCUUAGAAUACACAACUUGCCAUCUUAGGGAACAAACUAGCAAAUUUGUCUUCCCACAUCAAUACUUUCUUCCUCAAACUCGCAGAUUUUGAUUUUCUGUCAAACUUACUUCAACAUUAAAAGUCUUUUGAUGAUUGUUGUUGUUAUCUUUGAAAUAGAAGAAAUUCUGACCAAAGCUUUGAGCUUCAUAUCACAGUUAAACUCAAAUAGGCCUUAAUCCCAAUCUGAUUGAGGUUGCCUAUAUUAAUUUUUUUUGUUCUCAGUUCAACCUGAAACCUUCUAAUUGAUGCAUGACAUGUGCAGUAAAGUAGGUCAAUUAUUGUUUUACAAAUCCCUUUUUGUUAACCCUGUUAGCAGGUUCUGAUUUGUACUAUUAUAUAUACUUUCCUUUGUGCAUUUUGGAAGAGAAUGAAGCUUGGAAGAAUCAUUGGAAUUGCUCCAUGUGUCCUAAAGUGUAAUACCAGGCAAAACCUAAGGACCAAAUUGUAAAUUUCCCGUCUUAAAAUGAUGGUGCAACACACAGAUACACGAGACCUAUUCUUUGCUCUUGCUACAAGAAUUUACCAUUAUUAAUAAAAUUGCAGCAUAUGAAUCAAUUACAGUCCCACAAAGCCUUUUCUUUUCCUAAUCCAACCCCUCUCUAUUUCUCAUUCACUAAUGGCAAAACAUCUAAAGAUAAAUUAUUUCAAACAAAUGAAUGUAACUAUGUGAAUGAGAAAAUGAUAUUGAGAGAAGAAAGUGGCAUCCAAAUUCAUAGUGAAUGCUACUGAAGGAAGUGAUGGUGGUGUUAGCUACCACUGCCAAACUCCUUCUGGAUGUCCUUGAAAGAUAUGGUAGCAGAUCCCCUUCUUUUGGCCUUCUGCUGUGAAGGAUGUUCCCUCCAACCUGUCAUGUAAAUGACCUACACAGAAAAGGCCAGUACAAAAGAUAAUUGCCAUGCAUCAUGUAAUGCUUCAGUAAGCCAAACUUAAUUGCUUUUAGUCUCAGAAGGACCAAAAAUUAGAUAACCCUUCAUUUUUCUACAGUAGGAUAACACAAUAGAUACAUGAGCUUGUAGAAAGAGACAUCAAUCAGUCAAAUAUCAUUUCCCUUUUUAGGUAUGGUCUCAAAGUGACAAAUAUCAUAAUUUCAUUUAGCAAUGGCAAUCUCAUAGAAUUUGUUUGAUCAUAAUACCACGCUAAUUAUUACACAUAAAUGUCUAAAGUUGCGUGAAGCGUGUUCAUUAUUGCACUAGCAUCAGAAGAUAGUGGAUGAAUAUUUUACUUUUCCUACCAAAUAAAUAUUCCCAAGUAUUCCACAACGCACACCUGGAAUGUUGCAGGGAUGGUGCCAUCUUCUGCUGCAAACAUUGAAUCAUAGAUUGCAGCAGUCGCUAGGGCUGUUUCUCGCUUUAGGAUAGUGUUCCUUUGCAAAAGAGCAUUAGUUUCACCCAUUGCACGCAGAUGCUCUAUCAGCUCCAGAGCACUUCUAUACCUAACUACAUAUUCAUCAACAUCAACACCAGGAAGGGCAAAGCCUGCCCUGGUUAAAAGAUUGCCUGCAUCACGGACUUGUGCCAAAGGUGAUACUCGAGGACUGAUGCCUCCUUCACGCUCCAUUUGAGCUACAGUGCAUGCUAUUCUCAGCUCCUUCAAGGUUUCUCCACCAAGAAUAGCUCCUAAAAAUAGACCAUCAGGUUUCAGCGCCAAUCUGCACUGUAUCAUGGCUCCAGGAAGGUCAUUUGUCCAGUGAAGUCCCAAGCAACUGAUUACCAAAUCUAAUGAACUUUCUUUUAUGGGCAGAAACUCUUCAUCACCGACAAUAAAGGAUGUUUCAAUAUUUUUAUUUGCAUCUUCCUUUGCAUCUUCACACAAUUUAAUCAUGUCAUAGGAAAUGUCCAUCAUAAUGAGCUUUUCAAUGGAGCCACGGCCACAUAACAACCGUUUGAUAGCUUCCAAAGAACCCCCCAUAAAUAAUGCUGUAGGAAAAGUUCUCUUACAGUCCUCUAAUCGAUCCAGUAGAUUAUCAGCAACGGCAUCCACAAAAGAAUCAUUAGGGCGCAUCAACCAUGCAGCUCGGUCUCGCUGGCCCCAAAAAUACACCCAAUUAGACCAAUACUAAAAACAAUAAGAAUGCAUAAUUUUGUAUUAAAAAAAUUGAUUACAAGAAGAUGAAAACCAAAAUAAAAAUUGUACUGUUUUUUUUUUCUGCAUUAUCAUAGUGUCCAAAACUGAAAAAUAAAGCUCCUUAAUUUGCUGAGAUACUAAAAUGUAACUAAAAAAGGUUAAUUACAGCUAAAAUUCCAACAAAUUCAGCACCAAGAAAUUAGAAGCAGAAAGCAUUUCAACUAUGUACUUUCCGUGCUGCCAUACAAGAUUAAGAAAAACAUCCAUUCUAUCUUCUUUCCACUUGUGCAGAAAUGUUCCCAUUGUUCAAAUUGAAAAACAAGGUGGAAUUUACCUGUUUGCGUUUGAGGUGGCGAUCGAAGAUCUUAACCCUAGAAUUUUGCAACCCAUCAUUGCUGCUAUUGUUAUCUGUGCAAUAGGAACUGGAAGAGACAAAAGCAUAUGCUCUUCUUAAAAAAACUAAAGAACUCUUUCGACACAGAGACAAGCCUUUCAUUUUCUCUUCCUUUAAGCCUAACAAUUAGAAACAAAUGCCCCCUUUCAAGUCUUCCUUGUUUCCGCUGGAUUAUUCUUAUGCUGCCAUUGAAUACAAACAGAAUCAAAUCAAAUCAAAUCAAAUCAAAUCAAUCAAGCUUAAAGAGACUAAGCUAAAGGCUACAUGAAUCAUUCUCUUGGCUAGCUGAAACUUCAAGUUGAAAAGAGUAAACUCAUAAUUCCUUUCCUGUUUUUCAAAAUUUUCCCAGAAACCAAACACUGCGGCAAGCUUCAAAAUAAAAAUUAAAAAUGCAUAUUUUUGAAAAGGUACCUCCCUCAAGAAAAGAAUCACUCAUCAGGCUAGAGAAGAAGAAAGCAAAGGGGGAUUAUUCUUAUGAUGAAUCAU
rnacentral:misc_RNA from 1 species